GCAAGCCACCGUCGUCCUCGACCGCUCGCUGAAUGGCUUCCUUGCUACCCUGUUAGAUUAAUCGGGGCUAGGGGCCUAAUUAGACACGGUCAAUAAAUCUCAAGAUCUAUGAGUAAGUGAUAAUUGAUUUGCCGCUUUCAAAACGAGUAGUAAUUGACUUUUAAUCGCUGCGAGUUACUAUCUUUUGUGGCAUUAACUUGAACGUUCAAGGGAUGUCUCUGUUGCCUAUAAAAGAGGAGCUAUUCUCUUAUUUUCUAUGAUAUAUUAUAC
rnacentral:lncRNA from 1 species